GUCCAGGGAUAAAGACAUGCAUAUAAUCUGAAAAUAAAAACAAAGAAGAGAUCAAAUCUCAAUACCUUUGCGCAGAUAGAAAUACACUUCCGAUGAUCUUAGAUUCGAAGGUCCUUAAGCCGCACACGUGUCCGACCUCUAUAAAUAUCCAUCGGGAUCAACUUUGAAUCUUUCAUCUCAUGGUAAAUCCUUCUUCUCUAAGUAGGAUCUUUGCCUCUUUGAAUCUUGGUCAGCAAUUGAUCUUGACUGCAACUUCAACUCUUGAACUGCAGCUUCUCCUUAUUCCUUGCUGUCGAAGAGAUCCUUCUCAACUCAAGCAUGUGGAAGACGGACGCCCAACCCUUGGGUGUGGGAAAGAGAAAAGGAAGAGAGGAUGAGGCGUGGA
rnacentral:lncRNA from 1 species